CUCAGAGGCCAGGAGGGUUCUGUGCCCGCUGCCCCCACCCCUGGUCUCCAUGGGGGUGACCCCCAUGUGUUCGCGUGGUCACUUCUGGCCUUUCCUUUUCCAAGAAAAGUCAGCAGAUUUACCAAAGCAGCACGGCACAGCGGUCAGGCACGAGCCUCUGAGUCUGAACUGUAGCUUCAGCAGUUACCAAGCACAGCACAUGUCUUCAGAUUCACUCAAGGGAAUAGAAGACUCCAAAUCACCGGAUUCUAUCCUGCUGCCAGUGAGAAUUAAGGAUAAUUGCACAGACAUUUUACAUUUGCUUCAAAGAAGGAACUAUU